rnacentral:rRNA from 1 species
UACGAAGGGGGCUAGCGUUGUUCGGAUUUACUGGGCGUAAAGCGCACGUAGGCGGAUUGUUAAGUCGGGGGUGAAAUCCUGGAGCUCAACUCCAGAACUGCCUUCGAUACUGGCAAUCUCGAGUCCGGAAGAGGUGAGUGGAACUGCGAGUGUAGAGGUGAAAUUCGUAGAUAUUCGCAAGAACACCAGUGGCGAAGGCGGCUCACUGGCCCGAUACUGACGCUGAGGUGCGAAAGCGUGGGGAGCAAACAGG